UCCCUGGUGGUCCAGGGGCUAAGACUCUGCACUCCUAAUGCAGGGGGGUAGGUUUGAUCCUUGGUCAGGGAA
rnacentral:tRNA from 1 species